rnacentral:rRNA from 1 species
UACAGAGGUCUCAAGCGUUGUUCGGAUUCAUUGGGCGUAAAGGGUGCGUAGGCGGCGCGGUAAGUCGGGUGUGAAAUCUCGGAGCUUAACUUCGAAACUGCAUUCGAUACUGCCGUGCUUGAGGACUGGAGAGGAGACUGGAAUUUACGGUGUAGCGGUGAAAUGCGUAGAUAUCUGGAGGAAUACCGGUGGCGAAGGCGGCAUCCUGGACCGACAUUGACGCUGAGGAGCGAAAGCUAGGGGAGCAAACGGG